GUAGCGUCCUUGACCUUUCGUGCUUGAUAGCUGGAGAUUGUGCACGUACCCCAGGACGCUUACCCUCUCCCACAGCCCACAAAAGGUAGUAGUGUUUCUGCAGAGGGUCUAACGAAGGCUGUCAACUCCAAGACUCAAUAUUCAUCUAAUCGCCAUCACGUUGUUGAGUACAGAACUGGAGAGGCCUCGGAAGGGCAAAGCAAGCAAGGGUACAUCAUGCCGGUAGACUCUUGGUUCCUUCUGGUCAAUGGAUAAAACAUUCUCUCCUUUACCCCCAAAGUGCCUUCCUCUCUCUUUUUCAGUCAGUUGGUUCAUUCCUGAUAGAUUUGGGGGCCGCUGUUAUAUCAAACAGGCCUGCUUGGCAGGCUCUUUCUGGAGGUGGAUGUCCCCUCUCUGGAGAACUCAGGACUCAGUCACCCUGUUCCUUAUUAUAAAAGUAUUUAACCGCUGUUGCCGCUGUUGGAAUCUACUGUUCAGAGACAGAUAAUGCCUUUCUCUAACAGGACGUUGGACUGAGUGGGGAGCAGAGAAUAAACCAUGUAUUAAGAAGUCCAUCUUCUAUUGCUAUAAAGAGACACCAUGACCAAAGCAACUCUCAUCAAAGAAAGCAUUUAAUCAAGGGUUCGAUUAUGGUCUCAGAGGCUUAGUCCAUUAUUACCAUGGCAGAGCUGACUGAAGCUGUCCACCUAGAGGCCGAGGAGGCAAAGGCUGCAAAGACAAGGCUUGGCAGGGGAGGAGCCCUAGU